CUUUUACUUUUGUGAGCUGUUACUGAUGUGGGCUGCCUUUGCAUGAAAAUGCUUCCUGUGAUCCACAAUCGGCUCAAUGAUGGCCUUCACGUCCUCCUCAAUUUCAUCCAUCUGCAUGAAGUCAGCAAGUCUUGUGCCGAGGCAACAAGCAACAACACAAAGGGGGUUGCCUGAGAUUGCAAGCAAACAUGGGAGCACCAAACUAUAAGGAAUGAUAAAAGGCAGAACACGAUUCAGGCACUGCCAUGUACUGUACCUUGUGGAUGAUGUCCUGUGCAAGGAUCGACGCCCAUCGCGAGUGCAGGAGUGGCGUAGCGGCUGCAAGGACUGAGCCAAUUGCCAAUCUCGCCCUGAUACAACACAGCAGGAGAAAACGAAGGCAGGAUCAUAUCAGCAUCUGCAUCGAGAUUAUUCUUUCAGACACUGAUCA